AAAUUGAAGAGUUUGAUCAUGGCUCAGAUUGAACGCUGGCGCAGGCCUAACACAUGCAAGUCGAGCGGUAGCACAGAGAGCUUGCUCUCGGGUGACGAGCGGCGGACGGGUGAGUAAUGUCUGGGAAACUGCCUGAUGGAGGGGGAUAACUACUGGAAACGGUAGCUAAUACCGCAUAACGUCGCAAGACCAAAGUGGGGGACCUUCGGGCCUCAUGCCAUCAGAUGUGCCCAGAUGGGAUUAGCUAGUAGGUGGGGUAACGGCUCACCUAGGCGACGAUCCCUAGCUGGUCUGAGAGGAUGACCAGCCACACUGGAACUGAGACACGGUCCAGACUCCUACGGGAGGCAGCAGUGGGGAAUAUUGCACAAUGGGCGCAAGCCUGAUGCAGCCAUGCCGCGUGUGUGAAGAAGGCCUUCGGGUUGUAAAGCACUUUCAGCGGGGAGGAAGGCGUUAAGGUUAAUAACCUUGGCGAUUGACGUUACCCGCAGAAGAAGCACCGGCUAACUCCGUGCCAGCAGCCGCGGUAAUACGGAGGGUGCAAGCGUUAAUCGGAAUUACUGGGCGUAAAGCGCACGCAGGCGGUCUGUCAAGUCGGAUGUGAAAUCCCCGGGCUCAACCUGGGAACUGCAUUCGAAACUGGCAGGCUAGAGUCUUGUAGAGGGGGGUAGAAUUCCAGGUGUAGCGGUGAAAUGCGUAGAGAUCUGGAGGAAUACCGGUGGCGAAGGCGGCCCCCUGGACAAAGACUGACGCUCAGGUGCGAAAGCGUGGGGAGCAAACAGGAUUAGAUACCCUGGUAGUCCACGCCGUAAACGAUGUCGAUUUGGAGGUUGUGCCCUUGAGGCGUGGCUUCCGGAGCUAACGCGUUAAAUCGACCGCCUGGGGAGUACGGCCGCAAGGUUAAAACUCAAAUGAAUUGACGGGGGCCCGCACAAGCGGUGGAGCAUGUGGUUUAAUUCGAUGCAACGCGAAGAACCUUACCUGGUCUUGACAUCCACAGAACUUUCCAGAGAUGGAUUGGUGCCUUCGGGAACUGUGAGACAGGUGCUGCAUGGCUGUCGUCAGCUCGUGUUGUGAAAUGUUGGGUUAAGUCCCGCAACGAGCGCAACCCUUAUCCUUUGUUGCCAGCGGUUCGGCCGGGAACUCAAAGGAGACUGCCAGUGAUAAACUGGAGGAAGGUGGGGAUGACGUCAAGUCAUCAUGGCCCUUACGACCAGGGCUACACACGUGCUACAAUGGCAUAUACAAAGAGAAGCGACCUCGCGAGAGCAAGCGGACCUCAUAAAGUAUGUCGUAGUCCGGAUUGGAGUCUGCAACUCGACUCCAUGAAGUCGGAAUCGCUAGUAAUCGUAGAUCAGAAUGCUACGGUGAAUACGUUCCCGGGCCUUGUACACACCGCCCGUCACACCAUGGGAGUGGGUUGCAAAAGAAGUAGGUAGCUUAACCUUCGGGAGGGCGCUUACCACUUUGUGAUUCAUGACUGGGGUGAAGUCGUAACAAGGUAACCGUAGGGGAACCUGCGGUUGGAUCACCUCCUUACCUUAAAGAA
rnacentral:rRNA from 1 species